UCUCCUGGGAAACGGGUGGUAAUGCCGGAUGCUCCAGUUGAUCGCAUGGUCUUCUGGGAAAGCUUUCGCGGUAUGGGAUGGGGUCGCGUCCUAUCAGCUUGACGGCGGGGUAACGGCCCACCGUGGCUUCGACGGGUAGCCGGCCUGAGAGGGCGACCGGCCACAUUGGGACUGAGAUACGGCCCAGACUCCUACGGGAGGCAGCAGUGGGGAAUAUUGCACAAUGGGCGCAAGCCUGAUGCAGCGACGCCGCGUGAGGGAUGGAGGCCUUCGGGUUGUAAACCUCUUUUAUCGGGGAGCAAGCGAGAGUGAGUUUACCCGUUGAAUAAGCACCGGCUAACUACGUGCCAGCAGCCGCGGUAAUACGUAGGGUGCAAGCGUUAUCCGGAAUUAUUGGGCGUAAAGGGCUCGUAGGCGGUUCGUCGCGUCCGGUGUGAAAGUCCAUCGCUUAACGGUGGAUCCGCGCCGGGUACGGGCGGGCUUGAGUGCGGUAGGGGAGACUGGAAUUCCCGGUGUAACGGUGGAAUGUGUAGAUAUCGGGAAAGAACACCA
rnacentral:rRNA from 1 species